AGAGAGAGAGAGAGAGAUUUGAGAAACUGGGACAGAGGCAUGGAUGGAGGAGGAGGAAGGAAUAUAACAGUGACCCCGAGACCAUGCAGUCGGAGGAGGGUAUUAGCAGAGAAACGUGGUAGGGGCUUAGGAGGCGUUGAUGGGUUAAACAACAGCGUUAAGAAACUUCAGAGAAGGGAAAUCUGCUCCAAGCGUGACCGUGCUUUCACCAUGACUGACGCCCAGGAACGCUUUCGCAAUAUUCGCUUGCAGGUUCCCUCUGCACUUUUCCUUUCUGUUCUUCUUUUUUGUCAAAAGCCUCUUUUCUUAGGGUUUUAUCGCAAUAACUCGUGCUAUCCGUUUGUUAGUCAUCUUCAUAUUAACUCUAUAUUAUGUCUGCAAAAAAAUUGCUCUGAAUUAGAAUUUAUCUAUCAAAAUAAAAGAAUGAACCUGAUGGUUAAUUAGCUUUUUUGGGCAAACUUCUCAUAAAUUGGCACCUCAUCUAUUAUUAAUCUGCUCUGCAUUCAGCAUAAUAAGAAAGAAUGGUACUUUUUAGUGUAAUAUUACUUGGAGCUGGAGGAGUCGUGCUUUGGAAUUGUGUUGGGUUCUUCUAUUUCAAUGAUUGAUGCUUGAAUUUAUGAAUAGGAGGAAUAUGAUACCCAUGAUCCAAAAGGUCAUUGUUCCAUGGUGUUGCCUUUCUUGAGAAAAAGAUCAAAGAUUAUUGAGAUUGUAGCGGCACGUGAUAUCGUCUUUGCCCUUUUACAGUCUGGCAUUUGUGCAGCAUUUAGCCGAGAAAACAAUCAAAGGAUAUGCUUUCUCAAUGUCACUCCUGAUGAAGUUAUUCGAAGCUUGUUUUACAAUAAAAACAAUGACUCACUUAUUACAGUUUCAGUUUAUGCUUCAGAUAAUUUCAGCUCCUUGAAAUGCAGAAGCACUAGGAUUGAGUAUAUACGAAGGGGUAAACCGGAUGCUGGCUUUGCUCUUUUUGAAUCUGAGUCACUGAAAUGGCCUGGUUUUGUAGAGUUUGAUGAUGUAAAUGGUAAAGUACUCACUUAUUCUGCACAGGAUAGGUAAUAAUUCCAUCUUAUUGAUGAAAUCAAUAACAUUUGAUCAUCAAGUACUCAAUUAGCCUCCUAAAUUGAUAUUUUUCCUCCUUUCCCCUACAAUUCUUUCGUCAGUAUAUACAAGGUGUUUGACCUCAAAAAUUAUACAAUGUUAUAUUCCAUAUCAGAUAAAAAUGUUCAAGAGAUUAAGAUCAGGUAAUAUUCCUUUACUUGUUUUCAUCUUUUUAUUUGCUUAACAAUGCUUACUAAAAAGGCUACAGAAAGGCACAUGUGCACACUGGUACUUGUGAACGAGAAAAUGUUUUCUUGCAUACGCUAUGUUCAUUGUGGUUCAGGCGCAUCAUGAUGCAUGAUUCUUAUCAUUCUAAUGUUUUAUGCUUUUUCAUGAAUUUUGUGAGAUGUACUUGGUGGUU
rnacentral:misc_RNA from 1 species